rnacentral:rRNA from 1 species
AUGCACGCUGGCGGCGUGCCUAAUACAUGCAAGUCGAGCGAACGGACGAGAAGCUUGCUUCUCUGAUGUUAGCGGCGGACGGGUGAGUAACACGUGGAUAACCUACCUAUAAGACUGGGAUAACUUCGGGAAACCGGAGCUAAUACCGGAUAAUAUUUUGAACCGCAUGGUUCAAAAGUGAAAGACGGUCUUGCUGUCACUUAUAGAUGGAUCCGCGCUGCAUUAGCUAGUUGGUAAGGUAACGGCUUACCAAGGCAACGAUGCAUAGCCGACCUGAGAGGGUGAUCGGCCACACUGGAACUGAGACACGGUCCAGACUCCUACGGGAGGCAGCAGUAGGGAAUCUCCCGCAAUGGGCGAAAGCCUGACGGAGCAACGCCGCGUGAGUGAUGAAGGUCUUCGGAUCGUAAAACUCUGUUAUUAGGGAAGAACAUAUGUGUAAGUAACUGUGCACAUCUUGACGGUACCUAAUCAGAAAGCCACGGCUAACUACGUG